AACUUUUAACAACGGAUCUCUUGGUUUCUGGCAUCGAUGAAGAACGCGCGAAAUGCGAUAAGUAAUGUGAAUUGGCGAAUUCAGUGAAUCAUCGAUCUUGAACGCACUUGCGCCCGCCAGCAUUCUGGACGGGCCAGCCUGUUCGAGCGUCAUU
rnacentral:rRNA from 1 species